UUCAACGGGUAUUUAUUGAGC
rnacentral:miRNA from 1 species